rnacentral:rRNA from 1 species
CGGCGGACGGGUGAGUAACGCGUGGGUAACCUGCCUCAUACAGGGGGAUAACAGUUAGAAAUGACUGCUAAUACCGCAUAAGCGCACGGGGACGCAUGUUUCUGUGUGAAAAACUCCGGUAGUAUAAGAUGAGCCCGCGUCUGAUUAGCUGGUUGGUGGGGUAACGGCCUACCAAGGCGACGAUCAGUAGCCGGCCUGAGAGGGUGAACGGCCACAUUGGGACUGAGACACGGCCCAAACUCCUACGGAAGGCAGCAG